rnacentral:lncRNA from 1 species
CAUUGGUGGUAAAAUCGAAAUCGAAAACCGCAUAGCGGCACUCGUCGGCAGGGAGGGAAGCGGUGAAAUCAUCGUAAGUCUCUUGGGGGUUUCCUAACUUUUCCACCACCACUUGCUGCCCGUCUAUCCUGAAUAUUAUGAAACGAUAGGUUCUUUUCUUUAGCUCCAAAAACUUCAGCUUGCAGUUGUCUUCCACUGCCAUCCCUGACGCCGCGUUCGCCUUUUCAUUCAAUCAUAUCAUAGAAAAUACUUUCAUCACCAUCACAUCAAAUACAAAAGUAUUUUCUUUUCUUCUGAAGUUAGCUAGGUUUUUAUUCCAUUUUUAUGUCGAAGCUUAUGUAAAAUAUGUGAUUAACUUAUGAAAUAAAAACGAGAUAAAUAUUUAUGUUAUACAAAAUAAUGAGAAACACGUCAAUAACAUGGCGAAAUCGAACUCUAAACAUGAUUAGGCAAUCAUUACAUCCAAACUCCAGGUUUUAAAGGUCUACGUAGGCAUCCGUAUUUUCAGAAUCAGACAUCGAUUGGCUGCUACAUGCCAUUGUAUAGUAACAAUGAUCCUACAGAAUUAUUAUAAAAGUAAGAAAAGAGAGGAGACAAACCAUUGCUUUUGUUUAGUUUCUAUGGUAAAGCUUGAGGAAGAGAAACUUCUUGUUCUGUGUGAAUAUUGAUUGUCCUCUGGAAAAGAGGAAGAUGGGAAUGUAAUUUGUUAGGAGAAUUAAGGAAGAGGAUAAUGCUUAAUUGGUUUGUGAAGGGAGGGUCGAGACAAACUCGGACAACUGCUCUUAUUUAUUAUCAUUAAUAUUAGUCACUAAUCUGUUUCUGUGAUAAGGGCGUACAUUGUUUUCUUAUUUCAAACCUUAAAAUUAGCUUAACCAUCCCCUCUUUUAAGGCAAUGCACAGUCUAUUAUUAGCACCUAUUUGUAUACACCAUGCAUACGUCCAUACGCAUGCAUGCAUAUGCGUAUAUAGAUUCAUUAUCUAUUUUAUCCGCUAGGUUGCAUAUUUUUUGCUCAUUUCUAUCUUUUGUAUUCUUUUUUCUACCUUCUUACAAUGCAUGUAUAGCAUCAAAUGCCUAUAUGAACAGACUAUUCAUUUAUGCUAUGUUACCACUGGAGCAAUGGCUUCCCAUAGCCAAAUCUUCCUUAUUCUGAUGAUCAUGACUUCUUCUUCUUCUCCUUUCUGUUUCGGUGGAAGGUACGUUUCGAAAUCCCUCAUUGAUCGAUCGUUUCUCUUGUUUGAGUUUUAACAGAGAUCCUUGCAUUUUCGAUUGCAUUUCACUCUCAACCUGAUUGAAGGACAAGUAGAUUUAUUUUUGCAAAUAAUGGGGUUUGCGAGAAUGUUAAUCACAUUUCAGUUUGGUUAGCUUUAAUACCCUGAUCCUUCUACUUUGAUUUAUAUUUCCUUUUUUAAUUUAUGCAGUCGGAAGGAACUCCGAGAUAAAGAUGAAAGUUAUACAGAGUCGAGUUAUGUUGUUGGAUCUAAAUUCGUGGACCCGAGACGUGUUCUUCAACUUUCAUGGCAACCAAGGUCAGGUACUUUUUUCAUGGAUAUAUGUCUUCAUAGAUCAAGUACUUACACACAAUCUUGCGUAUAGGAAAAUUUCUAGCUGUUCUGUUGUUAGUUGAAGUUUUUAGAUAGCCUAAAAAUUAAUCUUCAAGAUACUAAUUUGUGUUUUACUAUUUGGUAUGCACAGGGUCUUUCUUUACCGUGGAUUCUUGUCAGAGGAAGAGUGUGAUCAUCUGAUAUCUCUGGUAAAUUCAUCUUUCCUUCCGGUUUGUUGAGAUUUGUUUGAUACAUAUGUUCUUUUGUAAUGGUUGUUGCUUUUCUCUACAGAGGAAGGAGACUUCAGAGAUUAAGUCAGGGGUUGCUCAUAGGAAGACGCAACUUGUAAGUUCUGAGUACGUUUUAGAUGUGCCGGUAAGUUCUUAGUUUAUUCUUGAAGUUUGCAGAUACACAAGCGUGUCAAUAGAUCUUUGGUCAUAUAUACCUUAAACACUAUGUGGUAAAGAUGCUAUAUAGAUGUUAUUCAAGUAGACUAUAAGAUAACAUGUUUGUAGUUUUGUGUGACAACCAACUUAGAAAGCGCAGGUGUUAUAUAACCCUAGUGUAGCAGUUUCCACCUCGGUUGUUCGAAAUAGCUAUAACAAUGUUAUGUUCCAGUCAUUAAAUUGGUAGUACACUUUUGGGUAAACUAGGAUCCAAUAGUUGCUGGAAUUGAAGAAAAGAUAUCUGCUUGGACUUUCCUACCAAGAGGUACUAAGUACAAACCUUUACUUAUCUUGGUUUUCAAUCCAUGGACACCUUUUAGUUGCUCUUGGAAAGGCCUCUUUUCUUGAGUUAUGUUUGUAAUCGCCUUCUUCUUGGCCAAAAACUGCCGGCUUAUGUGUCUCUUUCAGAAAAUAGCGGUCCGAUCAAGGUAAGAAGUUACACAUCGGAAAAGACAGGCAAGAAGUUGGAUUAUUUUGGAGAAGAUUCUAGCUCAGUAUGGCAUGAAUCUUAGUUGGCAACUAUCAUUUUCUACGUCUCAAAUACAACUCAAGGUGGAGAGCUUCUCUUUCCAAAUUCAGGGGUCAGUAAUAACAAAUAGAUUGUCGAGUCUUUUUGGCACAACACAAUGAAUAUUCAAAUCAUAUAUCCAUUUUUUUACCCUCCUGGUGAAAAGCAAACAGAGUUGGUCAGACUGCUCACAGACCGGUAACAUUUUAAGGCCAGUAAAAGGAAACGCAGUUCUGUUCUUCACAAGACACUUGAAUGCAUCUUUGGAUCAGACAAGCACUCAUUUUAGAUGCCCUGUGCUGAAAGGAAAGCUGUUGGCUGCGACAAAACUGAUAUACGCCAAGAAACAAGCAAGAAAUGAUGUGGACAGUGGUGAAUGCAGUGAUGAAGAUGAGAACUGUGGACAAUGGGCCGAGCUUGGGGAGUGCAAGAAGAAUCCUGUUUAUAUGAUUGGCUCUCCUGAUUACUUUGGUACCUGCAGAAAGAGUUGUAAAGCGUGUUGAUUCUUGAUAUCAUUCUCAUCAUAUUUGAAAUAAUGGCCAUACUGAAACAUUUUUUCUCAAUUUCUAACAGAUUCAAAUUUGUCAAGCUCUCAAGUCUCAUUACUUUUUCCUUCGAAGACAAAUAUUCAAGUGUUCAUAUAACUACAUAAUACUCGAUAAAUUAAUAAUCUCUAUAAAUUAAUAAAUUUUGUCGGUCCCAACUUGAACCGGUUCAAAAUUUGUCACAAAUCGAUAAAAUAAUAAGAUAAUAUUUUUUUUUCAAAAAUUCUAUGUAAAUAUAUGGUCCCAAUAAAAUUAUAAAUUAAUCAUUUAUAUAUAUGCAUAUUUCAUAUUAGUAAAAAUCUAUUAUUAUAUUAUUUAUUUUAUAUUCACAAUAGAAUUAUCUUUACAUUUUCUUAACACUUCGUAUAUUUUUGAUGAGAUUUAGUAAUAUUAUAUCUAAAACCACUUUUAAGUUUUAUGCAAUAUAUAUUAUAUACAACAAAUAAUAUGAUAAAAUUAAUAUAAAUGUAAAAAUUUUUAAAAAAUAACAAUUAAUGUCUAUACACUAAAAUCAAAUAUAUUUUUAUCUUAAAAUAUGAAAUCUAAAUAAAGAAACUUUUGUAAAUUAAUAUCUCUAUAAAUGAAUAAAAUUUUAAAGUCUCAACAUUAUUAAUUUAUAGAAGUUCUACUAUACCAUUUUUUAAAGGAUUUUUAACUUUAAAACCCCUCAACUAAGUUUGUUUUGCGUCAAAACCCCUAAACUAAGUAUUUAACGAAAAAACCCUUAAACUAACUUUAUUUAAUGAAUUAAACCCUAGCAGGUCAUAAAUACAAUUACUACCGGUAAAUCUUUAGUUUAGGAGUUUUGAACCUAUCCUUAGAGCUUGCGUACACCAUCUUCAUCCUCACUCUAGAUGAAUCCGGUGACCUACCAUGCAUCAUCCAACAAAGCCAAAACACAUAAAUACACUUCAUUCAAAACUACUGAAACAAAAUCAAGUCUGCUACGUGGGAAAUGGGAAUAUUAAUUAUAAGAAGGGUAGGAUUGUUAUCACUUAUCAGGUUCUAAACACAACUGGAUGAAACAUUUGCUUUGACUCCCAAAUUUUAUAAAGCUAAUAUAUUUAUACAGAUCGCAUGAUUUUCAAAUUGUCUAUUUUUUAUCAAGAUUAACUUUAAAAUGUUUAUGGCCUUCUAAAUCUCAGAGCCGAUCAUGGUUAAUUAGUACUGGCAUGACAUGAAAUUGAAGAUAUAUAAAGUUUAAUAAGGCUAUAUGAUGUACAUAUGUUCUAACGUUUUAACUCAACAAGGCUUUAUGAUAUAUAGUAAAAUUGAAUGAAAGUGUUCCAAACCAAAAGGUAAAAUUGAAUGAAAACAUCAACGAAGGAAAAGUAGAGAAUGUCGUACCAAGCUAUGAAGAAGAUUUUGCUCUUCUGGCAAUUUUCAUUGGUGGUAAAAUCGAAAUCGAAAACCGCAUAGCGGCACUCGUCGGCAGGGAGGGAAGCGGUGAAAUCAUCGUAAGUCUCUUGGGGGUUUCCUAACUUUUCCACCACCACUUGCUGCCCGUCUAUCCUGAAUAUUAUGAAACGAUAGGUUCUUUUCUUUAGCUCCAAAAACUUCAGCUUGCAGUUGUCUUCCACUGCCAUCCCUGACGCCGCGUUC